rnacentral:rRNA from 1 species
GUGCAGCAGGCGCGAAACCUCCGCAAUACACGAAAGUGUGACGGGGCCAUCCCGAGUGCCGUCCGCUGAGGACGGCUUUUCCCCAGUGUACACAGCUGGGGGAAUAAGGAGAGGGCAAGCCUGGUGUCAGCCGCCGCGGUAAUACCAGCUCUCCGAGUGGUGGGGACGCUUAUUGGGCCUAAAGCAUCCGUAGCCGGCUGGGCAAGUCCUCCGUUAAAUCCAACGAUUCAAUCGUUGGGCUGCGGGGGAUACUGUCCAGCUUGGGGGCGGGAGAGGCCGACGGUAUUCCCGGGGUAGGGGUGAAAUCCUAUAAUCCCGGGAGGACCACCAGUGGCGAAGGCUGUCGGCUAGAACGCGCCCGACGGUGAGGGAUGAAAGCGUGGGGGAGCGAACCGGAUUAGAUACCCCGGUAGU